UAUGUUUUCUCCUCCUUUAGCUCAGCCUAACCAUGACCCAAACACUCAUCAUUGCUUAUGUGGAGCAGAUGAGAAGAAUUCAAACCAAACAAACCCAAGCCAUGUGCUGUUUGUAAUCAGUUUGAACAUGAAGUUAAGGACUGUGAAGGUUUGCCAAGAGAAAAGAAGGGAAAGCACGAUGAACUUGCAGAUAGUCUUCCUUGUGCAGAAGGAGAGUUUAUCUUCCUUCGUCUUAGUGUUCUUCGUGAGGUAUGUAGCAAUAAUCACUAGAAUCAGCCCUCUAAAGCAGAGUGCCGUUUCAUAGCUUUAAUGGCAGCAUUCCUUUUUGG